rnacentral:rRNA from 1 species
GACGAACGCUGGCGGCGUGCUUAACACAUGCAAGUCGAACGGAAAGGCCCUGCUUUUGUGGGGUGCUCGAGUGGCGAACGGGUGAGUAACACGUGAGUAACCUGCCCUUGACUUUGGGAUAACUUCAGGAAACUGGGGCUAAUACCGGAUAGGAGCUCCUGCUGCAUGGUGGGGGUUGGAAAGUUUCGGCGGUUGGGGAUGGACUCGCGGCUUAUCAGCUUGUUGGUGGGGUAGUGGCUUACCAAGGCUUUGACGGGUAGCCGGCCUGAGAGGGUGACCGGCCACAUUGGGACUGAGAUACGGCCCAGACUCCUACGGGAGGCAGCAGUGGGGAAUAUUGCACAAUGGGCGGAAGCCUGAUGCAGCAACGCCGCGUGCGGGAUGACGGCCUUCGGGUUGUAAACCGCUUUCGCCUGUGACGAAGCGUGAGUGACGGUAAUGGGUAGAGGAGCACCGGCUAACUACGUG